rnacentral:tRNA from 2 species
CAGGGGGUAUUUUAUUUAAAAUGUUAGUUUUGGGGACUAGUGAAAUGGUUUAUACCUUUCCUCUGA